AGCGAACGCUGGCGGCAGGCCUAACACAUGCAAGUCGAACGAAGUCUUCGGACUUAGUGGCGGACGGGUGAGUAACACGUGGGAACGUGCCUUUAGGUUCGGAAUAGCUCCUGGAAACGGGUGGUAAUGCCGAAUGUGCCCUUCGGGGGAAAGAUUUAUCGCCUUUAGAGCGGCCCGCGUCUGAUUAGCUAGUUGGUGAGGUAAUGGCUCACCAAGGCGACGAUCAGUAGCUGGUCUGAGAGGAUGACCAGCCACUUUGGGACUGAGACACGGCCCAAACUCCGACGGGAGGCAGCAGUGGGGAAUCUUGCGCAAUGGGCGAAAGCCUGACGCAGCCAUGCCGCGUGAAUGAUGAAGGUCUUAGGAUUGUAAAAUUCUUUCACCGGGGACGAUAAUGACGGUACCCGGAGAAGAAGCCCCGGCUAACUUCGUGCCAGCCGCCGCCGUAAGAC
rnacentral:rRNA from 1 species